rnacentral:tRNA from 1 species
UCCCUGGUGGUCCAGUGGUUAAGACUCUGCACUUCCACUGCAGGGAGUGUGGGUUCAAUCCCUGCUCAGGGAA